GAAGGCAGCAGGCACGCAAAUUACCCAAUCCCAGCUCUGGGAGGUAGUGACGAAAAAUAACAAUGCGGGACUCUUCCGAGUCUGCGUAAUUGGAAUGAGCACACUUUAAAUCCUUUAGCAACAACCAAUUGGAGGGCAAGUCUGGUGCCAGCAGCCGCGGUAAUUCCAGCUCCAAUAGCGUAUAUUAAAGUUGUUGCGGUUAAAAAGCUCGUAGUUCGAGUUCAGUUUCGGACUGGGGUGGGAGGUCACCGCCCGGUGCUUGCCCCCUAGGCUCCGAACAGCUUCCUAUAGUGGAAGCCAAGUCGGUUCUGGCGGGGUGCUCUUUACCGAGUGUCCCGUGCGGCCGGCCAGUUCACCUUGAAUAAAUGAGAGUGCUCAAAGCAGGCUACUCUGGAAUACAAUGCCCGAAUUUUGGUUGCAUGGAAUGAUGGAAGAUGAUCUCGGUUCCAUUUUGUUGGUGGUGGGAGCCAGAGGUAAUGAUAAAGAGGGACUGUCGGGGGCAUCCGUACUACGACGCGAGAGGUGAAAUUCAGUGACCGUCGUAGGACGAACAACAGCGAAAGCAUUUGCCAAGAAUGUCUUCGUUGAUCAAGAACGAAAGUUAGAGGAUCGAAGGCGAUCAGAUACCGCCCUAGUUCUAACCCUAAACGAUGCUGACUAGCAAUUCGCCGUCGUUAUUCCCAUGACGUGGCGAGACGCCCCCGGGAAACCUCAAGUUUUUGAGUUCCGGGGGUAGUAUGGUUGCAAAAGUGAAACUUAAAGGAAUUGACGGAAGGGCACCACCAGGAGUGGAGCCUGCGGCUUAAUUUGACUCAACACGGGAAAGCUCACCAGGCCCGGACACCAGAAGGAUUGACAGAUUAAGAGCUCUUUCUCGAUUUGGUGGGUGGUGGUGCAUGGCCGUUCUUAGUUGGUGGAGUGAUUUGUCUG
rnacentral:rRNA from 1 species